AUUUCUGGUUUUUUCUUAAUAGUUUUAUCUAAUAAUGUGAAAUAUAUAAUCACAUAAAAAAAAUAUGAAAUAUAUAAUUUCUGGUCCUAAGUAAAAUAAGACAUGGACACAUUUAUUAAAAAAAUAAAUUCUCAGAAUUUAUAAAAGAAACAAAUUAACAAAUUAUAGUAAUUAAUAAGAAAGAGCUGAAACAUUUUUCAUAGUACAUAUAUAUAACUAAUUAGCUCAAUGGAGAGUUUUUUGUGAUCAUACAAGAUUUUCUGGUCCAAGUUUUUUCUUAGCAGUUUUAUCUAAUAAUAUGAAAUAUAUAAUCACAUAAAAUAGAAAGGUAGCAUUGUAUAUUAUUUUCUUGUGCUUGCCAAAUAUGCUCAAUCAUGUUAACAACAGUAAGAACAUGGAUUUAGCAAUGACGUCUACUGCAGUUUCUGGCUAUCUAGACUUUUUCCCCCUCGUUUUUGUUUAUUUUUCCUUUUUUUUUUCUUUUGUAAGUAAUGUUCUAAGACUAGGAAUGCGCCUUCUCAGAUGCACAUAGCUGGAUCUUACUUUGGGGCUUAGAAGUGUUUUUUAGCCUCGGAAUGUGUGCCACAUGCUGAAGACACACUGUAACUAACCACAUGGAUGAGGAUUUGGUAUUCUUUUUUGCCUCCAUCCUCCUAUGGAGUCUCCAUUUUUGAGAGAUGAAGUUUUGUGCAAAAUGAAAAGGCAUUUUUUAUUGCUAGCUAAGAGGAAAUGGUAAUUUAAGACAAACUUAUGGGAGUCACAAGAUUUGGCAAUUCUUGUGACUAGACACUCCAUUCUUCCAAUCUCGUUGUUGGGCAUUUAGGAUCUCCUGAAUCCUCCUAGUUUUUCAUGAGUCAAUGUUGAAGAUAGAAUUAUUCACAUGGUUAUUGGAUCUGCACAUGGAAUUUUUUGUGAUGACUUGUGUUAAAUGCUUGCUUAGUGGGCAUAUGGUAAGAAAAUAAGGUACUUAUGUAUAUAUAUUUGGUAGAUCUUAAUCGAGUUACAUAACAGGGAGCAGCUCUUUGCCUUCCCACGUACCCCACCCAAUAGGAUUUGAACCUAAAGCCUUCUAAUGAAGAUUCUAGACCUUUAUUGUUGGGCUAUUCCCUUGGGGACAGAAAAGAAUAUACUUAAAAAUGUAGAUUUGUUGCUUCAUUUUUUUUUCUCAAAUAUUGAUGGACGGUUACCUUUUUCUUUUUUUUGCAGUUUAGCAGCACUUUGUUGCUGCUGUUUGGUGGAGGAAUGCUGCUUCUAAAAUUUAAACUGCCUUGACGAGUUUCUCAAGAUGUUAUUGGGUAUGGCGAUUCUUGUUUUUCAUUCCCGUUGUCUACUUGUCAAAGUUAUUCUACACUACAGUGUUCUUGAAUUUCCUUAAAACUUGUACACAGUAUAAAUAUGCUACAAUGUGAUUGUUUGGCGUGUAAAUCUCAAGACUAUGUUGCUUCUCAACUACCAAGUAGAUGUUGACUGGCGAAGCUUGUUCCUAUUUACUGCAAUGCUGAAAGAAUAUAAUUAUAUAGCAAAAGCAAGGCCAUGGGCCUG
rnacentral:misc_RNA from 1 species